rnacentral:tRNA from 1 species
GGGGAUAUAGCUCAGUUGGUAGAGUUCCUAUCUUGCAAACACAAGGCCCUGGGUUCAAUCCCCAGCAACACAA